GUUUGUUUUGGUUGUUGAGUGUAUAUAAAUGUGAACAUUGGAAGGAGGUUUGUGUUCAGAUUGGUGACGUUUGGUGAGCCAUGGACAAAAGGGAGCUCGACAAAGCAGGGAACUUGGCAAACACUACCACUGGGCCGGUGGACAAUCAGCAACAUGAUCAGGGAACAGCUACCACAUCAAAACCGGAUAAAACCUCCAAAAACUGGUUUCUGAGACCCGGCGCAUAUUCACAUUUAUCGGGUAUUGGUAAGGUAUCACCUCAGAAUUCAACAACAAAGUGAAGAAGGACUUGACGAGAUGCAGGAAAAAUGGGUUGUUUUUUUGCUCUGCUGUAUGGAACUUUCAAUGAGGCCGCAGUCAUAUAACUGAAGAUUAGAAGUGUUCAUAAAAUGUGCUGUCCUCCAAAAUGUAAUUACAUGUGUGUUGCACUGCUCAUUAAAAAUGUGGAAAACGUG